rnacentral:rRNA from 1 species
GAUGAACGCUGGCGGCGUGCCUAAUACAUGCAAGUCGAGCGAACAGACGAGGAGCUUGCUCCUCUGACGUUAGCGGCGGACGGGUGAGUAACACGUGGAUAACCUACCUAUAAGACUGGGAUAACUUCGGGAAACCGGAGCUAAUACCGGAUAAUAUAUUGAACCGCAUGGUUCAAUAGUGAAAGACGGUUUUGCUGUCACUUAUAGAUGGAUCCGCGCCGCAUUAGCUAGUUGGUAAGGUAACGGCUUACCAAGGCGACGAUGCGUAGCCGACCUGAGAGGGUGAUCGGCCACACUGGAACUGAGACACGGUCCAGACUCCUAAGGGAGGCAGCAGUAGGGAAUCUUCCGCAAUGGGCGAAAGCCCGACGGAGCAACGCCGCGUGAGUGAUGAAGGUCUUCGGAUCGUAAAACUCUGUUAUUAGGGAAGAACAAAUGUGUAAGUAACUAUGCACGUCUUGACGGUACCUAAUCAGAAAGCCACGGCUAACUACGUG